rnacentral:rRNA from 1 species
UACGUAGGGACCGAGCGUUGUCCGGAAUCAUUGGGCGUAAAGAGCGUGUAGGCGGCUUGCUAAGUUCUGCGUGAAAUCUCGGGGCUCAACCUCGAGACGUCGGCGGAAACCAUCUGGCUAGAGUCCGGAAGAGGAGAGUGGAAUUCCUGGUGUAGCGGUGAAAUGCGCAGAUAUCAGGAAGAACACCCGUGGCGAAGGCGGCUCUCUGGGACGGUACUGACGCUGAGACGCGAAAGCGUGGGGGAGCGAACAGG